UAGAUCGCCUGAGAUUGUCACUACGUACAAGACAUAUCACAAGGCACAGAUAUCUCGACCAUCUGAGCAGUUCUAAUACUUGCUGGAACAGAUUAACCCUCGAAUGUUGGAUGACUUAGUUGGAUUCAUCUACUGUUAUGGACUGUUCAUCCACUCAAAUACGCUGCGACCAAGCUUAUCGAUAUGACUGUUUUGAUCAUAUACAACUUGUGCACUUUUUACCUCUAUAACAUUAUAAUUAAUAAUUCAGAUUAGCUAUAUUCAGAUAUAUAAAGAUGUAUUAAAAGUAUGAGCUGCAUUUUUAAUAUGUGAGACGCUCAACGUAAAAUUGUUAUCUUUUUUCAUAUGACCCAAAAUAUGACCUUUUAAAAAAGGAUCAAGUAGUCAUAGCAUGUAAAUAUAAUGUUAUUUAAAUGUUAUUCUGAGAUAAAUGUUAUUGGUAUCCCGUAAAAGAUAAACCUAUGUACGCUUUUGUUUAACAUUAACUCCUUCCUUUUUAUCCGGUAAAAUAAAUAAAAUAAAAAAUGGCUUUGUGUAGUUAACUUAGACUCAAAAACAACAAAGCUAGCAUUGAUUUAAAAAUGGUUAAAAUUUGGUCUACAAUCUAGUUGGCAGAUAAAAUGCAUCUUAAAGAAUUAAGUUGAUUACUUUUUUUCAAGUAUAUGUGAUAAUUUUAAAGAAAUACUUCUGAAAAAUUAUACAUUUAUUUUGAAAUUACUCGUAGUCCAAUAGUUUGUUAACUGUAUUUUUAUCAUCUUACUACAGAAUAUUCAAGGUAAUGUAGUGUGUAAAUAUGUCUUCUUAAUAUUUCUUUACUUAUAUUUUUAUUAUUAGAUUUUCUUUGUUUUGUUUCUGGAUUAUGGUCACACUUUUAGCUUAACUAUUUUGUUUCAUUUUACUUCAUUUUCAACAUAUGGAUGACUUCAAAUUAUUGAAGAAAUUCUUAAUAUUAUAUUUUAUUUAAAAAGCGAGAUACAGAGACUCAGUAUUUUGUUCAAGAUUCUCAAGACGUUGUUAACGGCAAUGACAUAUUUUGUUUCCGUAUGUAAUGUAUUAGUAAGUUCCAUAAAGGAUAACAACUCUCAAUAAAAAGAAAAUUAUCAACAUCCUUUUUUUAUAUGUAAAUUGUGUUUAUUUUGUUAAAGAAAUAGCUUUUUUGUUGUUUUCUUUACUGUUCAAAAUCUGAAAACAAAAAUUUUACAAGUUGUUUUUAUUCAACUUUAUUUCUAAAAUAAAAUGUAAAUAAUGUACCUCGCUUGUAACUCGACUUCUAACGUUUGAAUAGUAAAAAAUCAUCUAUAUGACAGAAAAAGUAACUGUAUUGUAGUUAUCAUCUGAAAUUGUGACCAAGUCCCUCUAAGAUGUGAAAAAAUAACUUGUAUAUGAACUUUUUGUUAAAGCUCAUGUGAGUUUUUCUGAUCAAAAUAUAGCUGGUGUCUGCUGUCUUGCUGUCUUAGGUCAAUGCGUUGAUUGCUUACAUUUAAUUCUUACUCUAUGAAUUGAAUUGAUUUUUGGAGAUUUUUUAGCUUUGUUUAAAUGAAGAACCAUGCCAUUGUUUUUCAGGAAAACAAGAAAAUAAGGUUUUCUCUUAUUUUGCCAAUUCAAGCAGUUUUGCAAAUUUCCCUUUAGUCUAGUAAUCCUAUAGUUUGAAGGUUUUGGCUUAACUAUUCAACAAGUAAUUUUAUGACAUUGGUUAGGUGAAACGUGAAAAUGGCGCCCACGCGUUAUCGUUUCCCGGUAUUGUACACUGUAUUCAUUAAGCCAUAGAACAAAGUAUAAUUUACUCGAAGUGGCGAUGGCUUUAUAAAAUUAGAUUCUGUUAAUAUAUCAUUCAGAGAAACACCUGAGCAUUUCAAAGAUGUUAUUUCAUUUUAAAAAAAGUAUUGUAUAAGCCCAUAUAUUAUGUCAAUAUGUACCAAAAAUAUGGGGAUAACGUGAAAUAAUUGCGCUUUAUCAGCAAAUUUUUAAAACGCCUCAUGGCAAAAUUGAUAACAUUCGAGACAAUCCCGUAGGAAAUCGGGGCGGUAAAAACAUUUCUUUUUAAAUCUAGAAAUAUUGUAAUAGAAGUAAAUUACUAAUUUUCAUCAACAUAUAUAGGGUAGAAAUAAUUAGAAUCGGCCUCAUUAGUGGUUUUUAUAAAGAUACACUAUUUAUUGUACGGUGGUAGAAGAGACGCGGAUUAUUCACCAACGAAAAUCAUUUUUUCGGAGAGCAUCACCCAAAGAUGAUUUUAUUUUACUGGAGAAAAAAAUCUUCAUAUAUCCUAAGCAUUCAUGCAAGUAAUAUAAUAUACCGAAAGACAUUCUGGCAUUUUAAAAAUUACGUCGUGUUUUAAAACAAAGCAAAAUAAGUCGUGAUUAUUUGACUUUCUAUGUCUAUAUUUUCCUUUUAUUCAUAUAUUCAAAUCAUGUAUAGUUGAAUUGGUUUCUGAUAUAAAUAAACAUAAUACUUUUCAACAUUUAAAAUUAUAUCAUGUCUGUCUAUGUCAUGUGCUUAUCGCUGCUCUUACAGACCAAUGAAAUGAAAAAUGCCGAGACUGCAAAAGUGGUCAAAUGUAAUAUCUAUUCAGGAGAUAGGGCGGUUUUUAACCCUGUUACGUCUCUGCCUAGACCAAUCAGAUGGCGGGUUAAAUAGAAUUAUUACAAUGAGGUACAACAAUGUUAUUUGUAUUAUUAAAGCUAGCUAACCAAUACCAGUUCGGUUGUACUAUAUUCACUGGAACAAUAAUGCGAUCAACAUUAAAUAAUAGUUUAAAAGAAUCUUUUAAUCUAAUGAAGAAAUAAUGUUAAUAAAUGUUAAAAAAAAAAAACUUUUUAAAUAAUCAAAAAUUUAUAAAGUGAUUAUUUUUGUCAAUUGUUUACAUUGUGAAAAAAGGUCAUUUUUGAUCAGGUGAGCGGUAUGGCUCAUGAGUUUCUUUUUUUCUGAUGUUAUACAUUUUAAAACAUAUGUUUAUAGAAUAUUGUUUGAUUGAAAGGUGAUUUGAAUUACUUAUUUUGAGAUUCUUUGUUACAGUUAUAUUAAUAUUCUGGUAUUCAAUGUAUAAUGAAGGAAUGUUGAACAAUUUUGAAUCAUUUAAGAUUACUUAGAUAUGUAUAACUAUUGCUAGAUAUUAAUAAAAGUGAAAUAAAUCAAAUAUACAUUACUGACAACAUAUAAGAAGCGGUCGGUUUGCACCUUAAACAUUUCUGAAGACUUGUCUUCCCUUGAUGAAAAAAGAAAAUUUGAAUUUUAUCAAAAUAUCUGCGGUAAAAGAUUCAUUUAUUUUCAUAUUUUAAUAAAAAAGAACGAUUAUGCAUACAAUCUGGUUAGUUUUGCAAUAUUAUACCUAGAUGUCAGUUUUGAAUGUUUUUUUUUUAUGUUUUUUUAUGGUAUAGCUGAUUAUGAAUAUAAUUGAAUAUAUUAUAUUUGUUUUUAAUUGACAUAAUUAAUAAUAUAGGAAUGAAUUUUGUUAUUGGUGUUUUAUUGUUUUAAAAAAUAUAAAUAUACAUGACGCUUUGAUAAUAAACUGUAGUUAUUCAUGAUUUAUAGUUUUGUUUUAUGUCAUGUUGUAAAUGGUGAAUUUACCGGGUGGCAGUAAAUACAAUUUGUCAUGAUUGAACCAAACAAACCUCGAUGA